rnacentral:tRNA from 1 species
GCAAUAAUAGCUUAACUAUAGAGCAUUGGUCUUGUAAGCCAAAGGUGGAUAAAAUUGUCCUUAUUGCU